UUUCUACAUAUCUUUGCCAUUUAUUGUCUUGCUUAUAAUAAUGAUAAUAGUCAUUUAUAAAUAUCAUUUUAGAGCACACAUUUGAAAUCGGUAGGCGAGGCUGUGUUAUAGUACUUUGGGUUUUCUAUUUUGUAAUUUAAUAUACAAAUUCAAACACCAUGAUUUAUUUUUAAUAAAAUAAGGCAUCAUAUUCCUACGAAAACUUAAAAAAAAGUAUUUUUAUUGCUGUUAUAGAUCAACUUUAAUGAUUAUCAAGCCGUGAUCGCCUUUGUAAAUAUUGAAAGAACACACUGGAAGUUGCUGUACUUAUUUCCUGCUAUAAGAUCAGUAUUUUUGGUGGAUCCAGCGGCAAAUUCCAAAGAGAAAGCAGACUCGGAAAAUGCUGCGAAAAGAGUACGGGAAUACUUCAAGAUGAGGAGGACCUGCUAUGGCAAGG